CCCCUCUCAGGGUCGCACCUGGAGAGUUUCCAUUUUGCUACCAGUUCCGACUAGGGGAGGGAGAGUCAAGCAGAGGCAUACCCAUUCCAUUCCUAGCUUGGGGCAGUGGCUAGCAAGUGGAAGGCAAUCUGCUACAAGG